GGUAAAAUGCCUGAGGAAAGCAUUAGACUUUAAAUCUAAGAACAGAGGUUUAAGUCCUCUUUUUGCCA
rnacentral:tRNA from 1 species